GCUGAACGCUAGCGGCGGGCUUAAUACAUGCAAGUCGAGGGGUGGUAGCAAUACUACACCGGCGCACGGGUGCGUAACGCGUAUGCAAUCUACCUUUAUCUGGGGGAUAGCCCGGGGAAACCCGGAUUAAUACCGCAUAACAAAUUGAUCGGCAUCGAUUGCUUUUAAAAGAUUUAUCGGAUAGAGAUGGGCAUGCGUAAGAUUAGAUAGUUGGCGAGGUAACGGCUCACCAAGUCUACGAUCUUUCGGGGCUCUGAGAGGAGAAUCCCCCACACAGGCGCUGGGACACGGGCCAGACUCCUACGGGAGGCAGCGGUAAGGAAUAUUGGGCGGUGCGCCCAAGCCUGACCCAGCCACGCCGCGUUCAGGAAGAAGGCCCUCUGGGUUGUAAACUGCUUUUGUACCAGAGAAAACCUACGCACGUGUGAUUAGCUGAUAGUAUGGUAAGAAUAAGCAGCGGCGAACUUCGUGCCAGCAGCCGCCGUAAUAC
rnacentral:rRNA from 1 species